GACGAAUAGUUUUUGGCAUCGAAUCGAGACAAGGUCUGCUGCUCAAAUCAGUCGUCCGGCCGCCACCGCAUCGCCGCUCAUCUCUCGAAGCCUAGCGCGAUGGCGUCGAGAAGGGUUGCGAGCCUCCUCCGCCGUUUCGCCAUCUGCUCUGCGUCGCGGCAUCCCACUCCUAUCCACAGUCCUCUUCCGUUCUUGUUGCUCCCGCUUCCGUCGGCGACCGCUGACUCGCCUUCUCACCUCGGCCUCUCCCCCCCGAACCCUUUCUUCUCCUCUCGACUGUUCUCCUCCGCUUCAGGUCCGUCAAACAUUGUUCUUAUUCAGUCUGGGGAUCAGCUCACUGACGCGCUGAAGAAGGCCCAGGAUGAUAAAGUGCCAGCCAUCUUUUACUUCACGGCUGUGUGGUGCGGACCUUGCAGGGUUAUAGCCCCAUUUAUUGAGGAAAUGAGCCACAAAUUUUCGCAUGUCACAACGUACAAGGUUGACAUUGAUCAGGAGGGCCUUGGAAGUAUACUGAGCAGUCUGCAGAUUCACUCUGUGGUAUGUGUGAUACAGAACCAUCUAAAAAUAAGAAACGCGUGUCAAGUCAAAAUUCUUAUUUUCCAUAUAUUGUUAUAUUUUGUCAUGACGAUUUUGGCAGAUAUUUCUUCUUCAUGAUUCAUUGUAUUUAAUUAUUUUGAAAUAUACAUUGGAAGAGGAUAAAGUAAGUGGUAUAGAAAUAAAAGCUCUUUGUUUUGUGCAAACUAGGCAUUUUAUCUAUAGAUGGAACUACCAGAUGUAUUUCGCCGUGAAAUUGUUGGUCUGUGAUGCAUAUAAAAACUAAAUUUGCGCCCUUCGAAAUGGCAUUCUCUUUGUUAUCAAAUGCUGUUGAAGUUGACAUUUUAGGAUUAGCCAUGGUGGCAUUGUUGGCAAUUUCAGCUGAUUGUCCGAAGAGAUAAUUGUUGAAUCUGUGCCUAACCCGAAGUGGGCCUAAUGAUUUUAAUGAAAACAAAUUUUGUAGUGUUAUCAUAGGUAGCUAGUUCUCCAAUCUAUGUUAAAAAAAAUUCCCUCAGAUGUUGAUGUGACCUGCUUAUGUUGCUCCCAAGAAGUGCAUAUCUAGUUUUCUGUUAUCCAAGCACCAGUUUUGUGCUUGUAACAAUUCCUUAAUUUGGCACCUUUUUAUUUAUCAGUUAUCAUUACAAAUUUGUUUCUAACAAGUCUUUUUAAUAUGGCAUGCCUAUAUUAAGCUAAUCGGUAUUAUAUUUAUGUUCUAACAACUCUUACACAUGCUUGCUUUUUUUUGUUUUCCUUUCUUGAUUACAAUGCUAAUUAGAGAGAAUGUUUCUUCGAUUAUGUGACAAUCAGCGAUUGAGCAAUUAUAUAUGCAUAUCAUGUCAAUCUUCUGUCAAAGAUCUUAUAAAUAUUUAUUAUUUUGCUCAUAUGUUACAAUGUAUGAACUUUUAUGCACAGAUUGUUUACUAGCUUAUACCUUUCCACUCAAGUAAACUCGGUUAUCAUGUAAGAUAGAUGCCUAGAUGGAGCUACCUCUAGUCAAAUCUUUAAUAUAAGCAUGAGGGUGGGCGCAUGACAUCUUUGACGUAAUGACCAGGGGUUUACCUCACCAUGCACCUAACGCCUGUGUACUAGUAUUUACCUCACCUUCAUAUCUGUGGAGUCGACACUAGGAGGCCAUUAAGGUAGCGAAUCUACCCUUUUUUAAUAUAAGCAUGACCAGGAGUUGAUUCUCGAGAAUUGACGGCUUGUGGUCACCCCAUCAUGCGUCUAACACCUGUGUAUCUACAUUUUCCUCCCUCCAUAUUCGUAGGGUCAGCACUAGGGGGACCGUUAAGGUAACAGAUCUACCUUUUUUUAAUGCAAGUAUGUUCGUCCUCAUGGGAUGUCUAGUUGGCUAGAGGGUGGUAGAUUUACUAUAAAGAGACAAGGUCAAUUCUCGAUGGGCGCAUCCCCUCAGGGAAAAAUUUCUUCCAUCCCCUAGCUACUUUGCGGUCGGCUGGCUAUAAGCUGACCUCGUAACCUAGGAAGAUUUCUUGAGUGAGUGUAAUCAUCUUUUUGCUAUAAUUUAAUAUAAGCAUGAAUGCAUUAAUUUUAGAAUAAAGCUCUAUGCAAAUAAAUGCUAUAGUUUUGUUUUUUUUACAGUAAGAGUUUGUUCUCAGUAAGUAGACAUCUCCCUCCCUCUGGAUUCUCUCAGAAGAGGUGGUUUUGUCGCAUGUACUCUGUGCAUUGAAUAUUUUCUUAAUUAACAUGCCGUUUCUAAGUUAAUGUUGUCAUGCCGUUUGCCUUUCUUAAUUAAUGCAGCCAACCUUUCAAUUUUUCCACAAUGGCAAAAAGGCUACCGAAGUUGUCGGUGCUGAUAAGAAACAACUCGAGGAGACAUUUAAAAGCUUGUACAAGCAGGAAUAAGACGGCGACGCUGAAGAAUUGUAUUUUGCUGCCUAUGAAACUAAUAAUAACAACGCUUUUCUGUAAUGGAAGAAUUAGAUUCGAGCGUUGAUUUCUCAUGGUGUCAUUCGAAAGUGUCUAACUUUGUACUUCCAUUUAUUUAUUAAAAGUGAAAUCUGCUCCCCCUA